rnacentral:tRNA from 1 species
UUCCUGGUAGUCCAGUGAUUAAUACUCUGUACUCCUAAUGCAGGGAGCCUGGGUUCAAUUCCUGGUCAGGGAA